CCUCUCCUUUGACCUAUUGAACUAUUACCUACAUUUGA
rnacentral:misc_RNA from 1 species